AUGUGUAGAGCGUGUGCAGUGCAGUGCAGUUGUAGAGCUUGUGCAGUGCAGGUGUGGAGCAUGUGCAGUGCAGUUGUAGAGCGUGUGCAGUGCAGUGCAGGUGUGGAGCGUGUGCAGUGCAGUUGUAGAGCGAGUGCAGUGCAGUGCAGUGCAGUGCAGGUGUGGAGCGUGUGCAGUGCAGGGCUCUCUGACUCACCCUCCUCUCUGUAGUAGGUCUUCUCAGAUAAUGGCUUCGCCGGAGUGUCCGCAGCCAUGGCCGCCUUCAGUUUCUUCUCAUAAAGGCCACGGGUGGAAUCUGCACAGAAAGA